AACGAACGCUGGCGGCAUGCCUAACACAUGCAAGUCGAACGAGACCUUCGGGUCUAGUGGCGCACGGGCGCGUAACGCGUGGGAACCUGCCCUUAGGUUCGGAAUAACUCCCCGAAAGGGGUGCUAAUACCGGAUAAUGUCUUCGGACCAAAGAUUUAUCGCCUUUGGAUGGGCCCGCGUUGGAUUAGCUAGUUGGUAGGGUAAAAGCCUACCAAGGCGACGAUCCAUAGCUGGUCUGAGAGGAUGAUCAACCACACUGGGACUGAGACACGGCCCAGACUCCUACGGGAGGCAGCAGUGGGGAAUAUUGGACAAUGGGCGAAAGCCUGAUCCAGCAAUGCCGCGUGAGUGAUGAAGGCCUUAGGGUUGUAAAGCUCUUUUACCCGGGAUGAUAAUGACAGUACCGGGAGAAUAAGCUCCGGCUAACUCCGUG
rnacentral:rRNA from 1 species